GUUUACAACAAUGCUGAUUGUUAAUUUUUCCUUCGUUUAAAAAGUUGAAUUGGUUCCGGAAAAAGCGAUAAACGUCCCAAUUACGUAACGGAGCAUAUCGACGACGUCACAUUCCCCGAUUCGAAACGUCUCCACACGAUAACCGACGUUGGAUUCGCCGGAGGAGUCAGCGGCAUCUAAUUCUGAGGUCUAACCCAAUUUCCGUGGAAUGACCUAGGGUGCAGAUACGGAGAAGCAGGCAGAGUCAUAUAUACAGUUGGAAAACGCCUUUAUGGGUCCCCGCGCCUGUGGGGAUAGGACGCGAGGUAUGUGGGACUCACCAACCUAGAGUUCGCCGAUAUACUCACUAAAACCCAACUGUUUCCGGCGUCUGGGUUCGGGACGAACCAAACCUUGCCCCAAACCUAACCUAACCUUGUCCCAGUUAGAUUAUUAUCAAGUUUCUAUGAAAAAAUGAACUGCCUUAUAUCUUUUUAUCGUCACAAACCGCUCGAGGAAGAUUGAAUAACGUUGGCUUAUAUCUCGAGAAGAAUGAUCACUCUUGGCACGCGUUCAGACCUACGUCAAAAUGUUCUCUGACGCUAGCAUCAAUGAAAGAAGAAGAGAAUCUCCAACGGUCGAGAAGUUAUAUCUCUCUGUAGGCUUGACCAAAAAUACCAGACGUGAAUUAACGUCAAUGUGAUUUUCGCAACUUCUUGGCAGCGCGAUCAAAACAACUCGCACCAUAAUCGGUAUAAUUCUGACUUGAAAACGAACAGGUCGUAUAAUCGUAG